AAAAAAGUUGUCCCCGUGGCCUGGCCUUAGAAGUCUCUCCCUCAGGUUUCCCACAGUUACUUCAGUCGUGACCGGCAGGAGCCGGCCGAGGAGUCUAGAAGCGAAGGUAGUAAGUGGCAGGGUACAGAUUGCCACCCACACUACCAACUAUAUUCUACUGUCGCUUGAGACCUGUGUGGGAAACUAGCUACUGGAGGUGGGAUUGAUUUUGGAAAACAGCCUAAAGGUGGAUUCUUUACCAGCUGACCCACAAGGGAAACUCAAGAAUACUGGAGUG